rnacentral:rRNA from 1 species
AUGAAAAUAAUAGGCUGGAAUUGCCGGGGACUCGGAAAUGGCACGGCAGUUCGCAGUCUCCUUGAGUUGGGGAGGUCGGAAGAUCCGGAUGUUUUAUUUUUGUGUGAGACAAAACUGUUUGAGAAGGAAUUGGAGAGGUUCAGGUGGACGUUGGGGCUCGCCAACAUGUGUGCGUGGAGUUGCCAAUUAUUGUUUGGACAGAGGGAGAGCAAAGCGCGUGGUAGAGGAGGCGGUGCAAGUGGAUUCAGAUUUGAGGCACGUUGGUUCCAGGAGGAAGGUUGUCAAGAAUUAAUUCAGGAGGCAUGGGAGGAGAGUAGGGAGCAAGGAGGGGUAGAUGUCGCCGGAUCAAUGCGCUUUCUCGCGGGUAAACUCCGCAAAUGGGACAGGAAGGUGCUAGGGGAGUUGGAAGGAAGGUUAAAGAAAGCGAAGGCUGACAUAGAAAGGUGUAUGAGGGAGACGGUGACAGAAGAGAAGAUUAAAGAAGAGGCGGAGUUGAGGUGUCAAGUUCAGAGGUUGGAGGAGAAGAAAUACACA